rnacentral:rRNA from 1 species
AUUGAACGCUGGCGGCAGGCCUAACACCUGCAAGUCGAACGAGUGGCGGACGGGUGAGUAAUGUCUGGGAAACUGCCUGAUGGAGGGGGAUAACUACUGGAAAAGGUAGCUAAUACCGCAUACCAUCAGAUGUGCCCAGACUGGAUUAGCUAGUGGGUGGGGUAAUGGCGCACCUAGGCGACGAUCCCUAGCUGGUCUGAGAGGCGGACCGGCCACACUGGAACUGAGACACGGUCCAGACUCCUACGGGAGGCAGCAGUGGUGAAUAUUGCACAAUGGGCGCAAGCCUGAGGCAGCCAUGCCGCGUGUGUGAAGAAGGCCUUCGGGUUGUAAAGCACUGUCAGCGAGGAGGCGUUACUCGCAGAAGAAGCACCGGCUAACUCCGUGCCAGCCGCCGCGGUAAUAC